UAAGUGCUUCUCUUUGGGGUAGU
rnacentral:miRNA from 1 species